rnacentral:rRNA from 1 species
CCUACGGGUGGCAGCAGUCGAGAAUCAUUCACAAUGGGGGAAACCCUGAUGGUGCGACGCAGCGUGGGGGAAUGAAGGUCUUCGGAUUGUAAACCCCUGUCAUGUGGGAGCAAAUUAAAAAGAUAGUACCACAAGAGGAAGAGACGGCUAACUCUGUGCCAGCAGCCGCGGUAAUACAGCGGUCUCAAGCGUUGUUCGGAAUCACUGGGCGUAAAGCGUGCGUAGGCUGUUUCGUAAGUCGUGUGUGAAAGGUGCGGGCUCAACCCGCGGACGGCACCUGAUACUGCGAGACUAGAGUAAUGGAGGGGGAACCGGAAUUCGCGGUGUAGCAGUGAAAUGCGUAGAUAUCGAGAGGAACACUCGUGGCGAAGGCGGGUUCCUGGACAUUAACUGACGCUGAGGCACGAAGGCCAGGGGAGCGAAAGGGAUUAGAUACCCGAGUAGUC